GACGAACCGUGCGAACGUUAUUCGGAAUCACUGGGCUUAAAGCGCGUGUAGGCGGGUCGGCACGUCGGUCGCUGAAAUCCCCCGGCUCAACCGGGGAAGGGGCGCCGAUACGGCCGGCCUGGAGGGACGUAGGGGGGGCUGGAACUUCCGGUGGAGCGGUGAAAUGCGUAGAGAUGCGGAGGAACACCGAUGGCGAAGGCAGCCCCCUGGGCUGACACUGACGCUCAGGCACGAAAGCGUGGGGAGCAAACAGG
rnacentral:rRNA from 1 species